CUAGAACUGCAUUUCUCAUGGUUGAAAGAGUUCAUCAAUAUCCAGACAUACAAGAAGCAUUCCUGGACCCACACGACAAAAUGCUCAGGAGGAGAGGCAGGAUUUUUUUGAGACUAUGGAGGAUAGCUGGACCUUGGUCUGCCUGGGGGAUCUGGGGCCAUGGUCUUGUAUUCAAAGGAAAGGUGAUAAAUGAGGAAGUCUGGAAAUGACUGAAGAAGGCAGCUGUGAGGGAAGGCAGUAAUCAUCAGAACGUGCCAGAGAAUGAUAUUGGCAGUACAGGCUCAAGAUGGCGAAGAGGAGGAAGAAC